UAUGUUUCAAGCAUAAAUGAUUCAUAUGAAUGAAGUAAGACACUUAAUUAAACUGUUUUACGUUAUUUCAGCGACUGUGCACACUGUGGAUGUUUAUGCUGGUUUUGUGAGUUCCUUGUUGAGAAAUAGCACACACAAGAUGGACCGGACCUACUUGAAAUUAUUUAAGGAAUAACACUACAGCUUUAUAUCUUAAUAGUAGAAGGAUUGUGCAUUAAAUAAAUAUAAAACUUAUAAUGAAAUUGAAAGCACCAAUAGGGUAAAACAAAAUAUUCAGAGAGUGCUCAACAUAUUAUUCAAUGGACAACAAGCAAGCAAGGCAGCAAACCCCAUUUCGGUUAAUGAUUUGACAGAAGUAAGUUUACAUGGUUUAGUGUUAAACAAAACUAAAAGAAAAUUUCAUUGAUUCGUUAAAAUUUUUUUAGAAAAACAGUAACAAAUCCUAAAAAAAAGCAUGGUUACAUUGCCUAGUUUUUUUCCAGAUUUUUCAUGUUUGUGCAUGAUUAAAAAAAAAAACAUGACUAACACAGCGAAAAACUCUCUUUUUUACCUUUAAACAGUUCAGUACGUUAUGGGGUCAUUACAAUUUUAUUAAAAGCUAGUUUGAUUAGAAUUCUACAAAACCGUCAUAUUCCAGCAGCACUAUGACCUAAAGGUUCUUAACCUGUUAUAUAUUCUUGCUAUAAAUGUAAAAGAUAUUACAUUGUAAAUUUGAUGUUAUAUGUAAUUAAAAUGUUAAUAAUUUA